GUGAGGAAUAUUGCGCAAUGGAGGCAACUCUGACGCAGCCAUGCCGCGUGCAGGAAGAAGGCGCUACGCGUUGUAAACUGCUUUUAACCGGGAAGAAACCCCAGGACGUGUCCUGGGUUGACGGUACCGGAGGAAUAAGCACCGGCUAACUUCGUGCCAGCAGCCGCGGUAAUACGAAGGGUGCAAGCGUUAUCCGGAUUCAUUGGGUUUAAUGGGUGCGUAGGCGGAGCGUUAAGUCAGUGGUGAAAUCCUGCAGCUUAACUGUAGACUUGCCAUUGAUACUGGCGCUCUUGAGUGCGCUUGAAGUGGGCGGAAUGUGGCGUGUAGCGGUGAAAUGCUUAGAUAUGGCACAGAACACCAAUUGCGAAGGCAGCUCACUAAGGCGAUACUGACGCUGAGGCACGAAAGCGUGGGGAUCGAACAGGAUUAGAAACCCUAGUAGUCC
rnacentral:rRNA from 1 species